ACAUGCAAGUCGAACGGCAGCACGGGUGCUUGCACCUGGUGGCGAGUGGCGAACGGGUGAGUAAUACAUCGGAACAUGUCCUGUAGUGGGGGAUAGCCCGGCGAAAGCCGGAUUAAUACCGCAUACGAUCUACGGAUGAAAGCGGGGGACCUUCGGGCCUCGCGCUAUAGGGUUGGCCGAUGGCUGAUUAGCUAGUUGGUGGGGUAAAGGCCUACCAAGGCGACGAUCAGUAGCUGGUCUGAGAGGACGACCAGCCACACUGGGACUGAGACACGGCCCAGACUCCUACGGGAGGCAGCAGUGGGGAAUUUUGGACAAUGGGCGAAAGCCUGAUCCAGCAAUGCCGCGUGUGUGAAGAAGGCCUUCGGGUUGUAAAGCACUUUUGUCCGGAAAGAAAUCCUUGACCCUAAUACGGUCGGGGGAUGACGGUACCGGAAGAAUAAGCACCGGCUAACUACGUGCCAGCAGCCGCGGUAAUACGUAGGGUGCGAGCGUUAAUCGGAAUUACUGGGCGUAAAGCGUGCGCAGGCGGUUUGCUAAGACCGAUGUGAAAUCCCCGGGCUCAACCUGGGAACUGCAUUGGUGACUGGCAGGCUAGAGUAUGGCAGAGGGGGGUAGAAUUCCACGUGUAGCAGUGAAAUGCGUAGAGAUGUGGAGGAAUACCGAUGGCGAAGGCAGCCCCCUGGGCCAAUACUGACGCUCAUGCACGAAAGCGUGGGGAGCAAACAGGAUUAG
rnacentral:rRNA from 1 species